ACAUGAAGGUAGCAUGGUGAUGUGUACAGAAAUUUAAGGGUCAACAUGUCUGCUCUCUCUGAUUCUCUGAUUUGAGGGCCUGGUUACUACCCAAAUUU